rnacentral:rRNA from 1 species
GGGUGCGACACGGUGACGUGGGGCGGAUCCCUGAAAACCGGUCUCAGUUCGGAUCGCAGUCUGCAACUCGACUGCGUGAAGGUGGAGUCGCUAGUAAUCGCGGAUCAGCAACGCCGCGGUGAAUACGUUCCCGGGCCUUGUACACACCGCCCGUCACACCAUGGAAGUCUGCAAUGCCCGAAGCCGGUGGCCUAACCACUUAUGUGGAAGGAGCCGUCUAAGGCAGGGCAGAUGACUGGGGUGAAGUCGUAACAAGGUAAC